GGGGUGCUCGAGUGGCGAACGGGUGAGUAACACGUGAGUAACCUGCCCUUGACUUUGGGAUAACUUCAGGAAACUGGGGCUAAUACCGGAUAGGAGCCAUUUUUAGUGUGAUGGUUGGAAAGUUUUUCGGUGUAGGAUGAGCUCGCGGCCUAUCAGCUUGUUGGUGGGGUAAUGGCCUACCAAGGCGGCGACGGGUAGCCGGCCUGAGAGGGUGGACGGCCACAUUGGGACUGAGAUACGGCCCAG
rnacentral:rRNA from 1 species